rnacentral:ncRNA from 1 species
UUGGCAAAACUAUUGAAAGAUAGUGACGCAAAGCCAUGGGUCUAAACCGUAGGGUAUGACAGCCGGUUGCCGC